CACUCAUCACCUCAGUUCUCAACCUACCUUCUCCAGUUCUUGACCAUAAGCCCUGCACACCUCCGCUUACCUUUUCAACAGUGACUCGCCAGCUGACACCUAUUCUCUCUGCAGCACAUAAUUCCAAGGAAGCAUCCGAGAUCCAGGAGGAGCAUCUAAUGAUCAUAAGUCCCGUUUAUGUGGAGCAGGAAACUUUGGAGAUCACUGACUGAGGUCCUGGUCAGAAGCUAUAGUUUCCUGCCGAAGAUCCCUCAGUGGAGGAAAUUCUCCUGAAGAUGCACAGUCAGAUUCCAUGUAUCCUAAGCACCAGUACAUAUCUUGGUAUUCUGUGGUGUUAGAUAAUGUAUUAGAAGGGUCUACAUAUCCGAUGGAAGCACAUGGCACCUGGUCCUGUUGAUGGAUCCAACUCAGAAGAGUUGACCUCUCCUGGCUCUGCUGGGUUUCGGACUUAAGAGAUCAAGCCAUGAAAUAAAGUAUUCCUCUGAAA